rnacentral:misc_RNA from 1 species
AAGUCGUAACAAGGUUUCCGUAGGUGAACCUGCGGAAGGAUCAUUAACACAAUUUUGAUUCACAAAUCUCUUUGCUUCGUUGUCUUUUUUUCUAGAUGCAAGAAAUUUCAUCUAGAGAAGAGCAACAAGCAAUUAACCCCCUUUCUAUGACGAAAAAUCUUUACAAGAGAAUGGAAGAAAAGGAAUGUGUUUCGUCACAAUCCGUUUCAACCGUUUUUUUCCUUUACCCAAUUUUUUUUACCCCUUUUACAACCUGUAAUAGACUGAAAACAAAAAUCAUAUUCUAGAUCUCUAGAAUCUAAAACUAAGAAAACAACUCUUAGCAACGGAUAUCUAGGUUCUC